AUACACCAUUGUAACUGAUAAAGGCUCAUCAAACGAAGAUUUAAGUAUUCUCAUUUUAUUGUUUCAGGAAAGUUCAUAUUCAGUAAAACCAGUUACACCAAAAACGAGUAAAAGAAAAAAUGAUGAUGAGUCAAAAGCUAGUAGUAGUAAAAAGACCAAGA